GCGUUAUUAGCUCAGGGGUAGAGCGUCCGCCUGUCACGCGGAGAGUCGCGGGUUCAAGUCCCGCAUAGCGCG
rfam:Kitasatospora griseola strain MF730-N6 RKJC_7, whole genome shotgun sequence.